GAUGAACGCUGGCGGCGUGCCUAAUACAUGCAAGUCGAGCGAACAGACGAGGAGCUUGCUCCUCUGACGUUAGCGGCGGACGGGUGAGUAACACGUGGAUAACCUACCUAUAAGACUGGGAUAACUUCGGGAAACCGGAGCUAAUACCGGAUAAUAUAUUGAACCGCAUGGUUCAAUAGUGAAAGACGGUUUUGCUGUCACUUAAAGAUGGAUCCGCGCCGCAUUAGCUAGUUGGUAAGGUAACGGCUUACCAAGGCGACGAUGCGUAGCCGACCUGAGAGGGUGAUCGGCCACACGGGAACUGAGACACGGUCCAGACUCCUACGGGAGGCAGCAGUAGGGAAUCUUCCGCAAUGGGCGAAAGCCUGACGGAGCAACGCCGCGUGAGUGAUGAAGGUCUUCGGAUCGUAAAACUCUGUUAUUAGGGAAGAACAAAUGUGUAAGUAACUAUGCACGUCUUGACGGUACCUAAUCAGAAAGCCACGGCUAACUACGUG
rnacentral:rRNA from 1 species